rnacentral:tRNA from 1 species
AAGUGUAAAAUAGAUUUUCUAUAUUCAAUUACGGUUUGAAGAGAUUCCACACUUU